GCCGCGCGCGAAGACAUGGGGGAGAAGCUGAGGCUGGAGUCGCCCGUGGGGGCCGAGCCCGCCGUCUACCCGUGGCCGCUGCCGGUCUACUGGGUCUAGCUUGUAGAUUUUGGCCUCCUCGUAAAUUUGCUUCUUCAUCCACAUUCCAUUUUGCCCGGACUAUGGCAGAAGCUCCUGGGUGGUUUCGCGGCCCCUGGACUCAGUUCCUCUAAGUUCAUCUGCCUACUCAGGUUGAGUGAUCUUCUAACAUGAAAAGGUUGUGACAGAAAUAAAGUUUCCAGAAGUUGUGUUCCUGCAAUAAGAAAUAAAGAUGUGACCUUCCAGUUGUGUAAAGCUCAUGAAUGCUGUGUAAGUGCGUCGGGUGCAAUAAGGAACCUGGAGCUAAAUGGGCUAGUUCUGAGAGAGAGAGACUUAACUAUGUUAACAAAGGAAAUCCAUCUCCGUCCUUUGCGGGGGCAGUCCCGAGCUCAUGUUUUAACGGACGCGAAUGCAAACCGUGGUUCUCACGUGACUUUCUGAAGAGCCCCCGCAGCAGGCCCAGGUACCUUGAGUGAACUAAGUCUCACUUUAUGGCAGUGGCAUCAGAUGGUGGCUACAGAGUGUUGCCGACGUCCCUGUGUGCUCUGACAGGCUCUGCAGACCGGGGGACGAAAGGACCAAGGAACUCUGACCGCCCUCGGGAAUCCCAAGUGACUGGAGGGACACCGCGUCAGGGCCCCAGGCAGUGUCGCCCACUGUUCCGGAGGCGGGCGGGGGCUCCGCAGCCUCAUUUCGUCCCGUCCCUUCCAGUAUCUAAAAUUGUUGUCAAGAUGCUGGGUUAACUCAGGCAGGUCUACAAAGGCGUCCCAAGCAGCAAACAUGUCUGUGAUGAACAAUGAAAGAGAUUUGGGAUUUGGGGAUGCUGCAGGUAUUUCUGUCAAAAACUGGCAUCACCACAGGCAAGUCCUGUCGCUUCUCUUCAUCAGUCUGAGAAAAACAUUCUUCUGAGAUACGUGCGGCCCACUCAAUGCACUGCUCCACGGGUUGGCAGGGAUUGGACACAUCAGCACACUUAAUCAGUCAGGGUGAGUCACCCCAACUCUCCCUCCUCUGGACCUUAGUUCCUCCUGAUUGUCACUCGUUACACUGAAAACAGAUUUCAGGAGUCAGCACGUGCAGCCAUAAUGUGUGCCUAAUUCCACAUCCCAGUCACUGGGACACAAAAUUUUGGUGUCUUAAGUCUGGCUCCCACAUCACCACUCACAUGUGUCAGUUCUUCCUCUACAGCUGAGUCAGUGAGUAAAGACACAUAAACAGAAGCAGAUUAAUACGAACAAGGUUUUAUUGACAUAUAUAUAUGUACAUAAAGCUGGGAAAGAGAAAGGCCCAUUGAGGCAAAUGCAUAGGGGGAGAGGAAGCAUCUGAAAAGAGCAGUGGGCAUCCUGCCAGUUCCAAGUCUAGGGAAAACUUGGGUCCGCCAAGUUAACAGUCAAGCCAGGGAUGGCACAGUGGAUGAUACAGCCAGCUGUCUUCCAUUCUCCUAACUGGAGCUUCUCAAGUCUGGUGUAGUUCUGAAGUGGGCUCAUAUGCUCCUCACCCUCCAGCACACACACACACACGCACACACAAACACACACACGCACACACACACACACACUAGCACACCCCUGAGGUGUGGUCCUCCGGCUUGCUGUAGGAAGAGAGGAGGUGAAGUUUCACUUCAAGGGGCUGAGCCACUUUCCAGUGAGGCAAAGUCCAUUCAUGGUGACACACAGUUUGCAGAAUAAGAUCUGCUCUUCAUUUGUUGAGUUUCUUCAUAGAAGAAAGGAAUUCGCUGGUGGCUCCUAUGAAGCCCUGGGCAGGUUAUGAGGCUGCCAGACUCCUAUGAGCACAGGCACAGCUGCCCUGACCAGGGGCCUGCAAACACAAUGCUGGCUCGUCUAAGUCAGAGGGGCGUCCUGACUCGGGGACCCCAGUGUUCUUCCUGAGAGUGGAGGUUCCUCUCUAAGUAUGGAUGCUGCUCUCCCCCAUGGCACCACCUGGGUUUUGACCAGCGGGGCCCUCAGGUGCUUUGUAUGAAUGUGGCACCAGAAGUGUAUCCAGUCACAGCAGGUGUGGUGCUGUCCCCCAUGCCACCCCCCCGUUCUCUGCACGGAUGGGUUCCAAGUCUGAUGGCAGUUAUUGACACAGGGCCUCCCAGCACCGGUGAGAUGUUGUGCCCUCCAUCCGCACCACCUGUGUGUUGGCCAGGUGGGUCCCAGUUGUAAGCGGGAAUAGCAGGUCCUCCAAUCAUGGGCAUGAUGUUGUUCCCUCCUAGACGACCACCACCUAGAUUGUGGGCAGGUGGGCCCCUUGUGCUUGGCAAUAAGGUAGAACUAGAAGUGUGUUGAAACCCACGGGUGAUAACCACACUUGCAACUGCAACAGAUGUGGUGUGCUCUGUUAGAAGGUGGAAACUGACAUGUCCCUUGACAGAUUUCUUCUCCUUGGUGAUGGAACUUUUAAAUGUAGAUUUUCUCCGUCCAGAUGGGCCCUGUGUGCAGUGACGGAAAGUGGGAACCCUAGGGCCUCCCAUCGUGGGGAUGGUGUUGUCCCCUGCCAUCACCGUACCACCUGUACUCAGCCCAGGUGGGCCCCAGGUGUUUGGAUUUCAGGUGGAAUCCGGUAUGUUCCCAAAUGCUGGGAUGGUGCCUGGCCCUCCUAGUGCAGCAGCCUUGCCGUGGUCAGGUAGAUGGCAGGUUGUCUGGCCCGAAGUAGGAACAGAAGCGGUGCUGGGUGCCCCACUUAGUCCUGCCCCGAAGUUAAGUGGUCUGGAUGCCUGUGAGUGAGUGAGGCCUGGGGCUGACACACCGACCCCAAGGCUCCCAGCGGCCGUAGGGGCUGCAGGUCCCAUGAACAGUGGGCCCGGUGUGGUGUCGGCAGAGAGCGAGCCACUGUCCCCAGUACUGGGCAUCCUGGUGGCAAGUCCGAAGCCAGUAGCAAUGGACACAGCCCUGGGGAGAAUGCCUGGCUUGUCGCCAAAGGCCGGCUGCGUGUUGCUGGUGGUGGCGAAUAGGGAAGCUGGCGAAGCUGCCGGCAUGAUGCUGACUCGCGGUGGCUGGGCUGCAGGGGCGACUAGGACUUUAUCUUGUGCUGAGGCUGCUGGGUUUCCCAACAGAAAAUGAUCGUUAGGCCUCUGCCCGUCGUUGGCCCCCAGUGUGGCCUGAGACGGGAGACCUGGGUCCAAGGAAGCUUGAAGUGUUGGUCUUAUCUGUUGGCCACGUUGCAGGUAAAUGUGUCGAGGCAUGGGCUGAGGCAUUGCUACUACUGGGAGGUGUGUUCCCAGAACUAGGAACAGCCCUGUGAAAUGCCUAUUGGUUCUGCCUGGAGACAGGCCGAAGGCUGGUGACGGCCGAAGUGACUGUGUAAAAUUUUUCUUUCAGUGGCAACCUAUAAUCUUUAAAAUAUGGUGAGCAUCUUGUCUGUUUUGAAGGGGAUAUGACAAUAAAUCUACCAGAUGGAAAAUCCUGUUAAAAGUAGAAAAGCUUUAGUAAUUUGCUCAGUGUGGUGGUUUUAUCGUUCUUUUCCUUUUUCUCCCUACGGUGACGGCCGAAGUCGUAACGGGGGGGCUGGGGAAAGCAGGAACCGAAUGGAAAAUGACAGCCUGGGAAGGAGGUGUGGUGUCCAUAGGUACAGUGUCAGAGCUGCUGCCUGCUGAAGCAUUGGUGACGGCCGAAGCCGUAACUGGGGGGCUGGGGAAAACAGGAGCCGAAUGGAAAAUGACAGCCUGGGAAGGAGGUGUGGUGUCCAUAGGUACAGUGUCAGAGCUGCUGCCUGCUGAAGCAUUGGUGACGGCCGAAGUCGUAACUGGGGGGCUGGGGAAAGCAGGAACCGAAUGGAAAAUGACAGCCUGGGAAGGAGGUGUGGUGUCCAUAGGUACAGUGUCAGAGGUGCUGCCUGCUGAAGCACCGAUGCUGGCCGGAGCUGUAACUGGGGGGCUGGGGAAAACAGGAGCCGAAUGGAAAAUGACAGCCUGGGAAGGAGGUGUGGUGUCCAUAGGUACAGUGUCAGAGGUGCUGCCUGCUGAAGCACCGAUGCUGGCCGAAGCUGUAAAUGGGGGGCUGGGGAAAACAGGAGCCGAAUGGAAAAUGACAGCCUGGGAAGGAGGUGUGGUGUCCAUAGGUACAGUGUCAGAGCUGCUGCCUGCUGAAGCACCGAUGCUGGCCGAAGCUGUAAAUGGGGGGCUGGGGAAAACAGGAGCCGAAUGGAAAGUGACAGCUCCGGAAGGGGCAGCAGUGUCCAUGUAGACGCUAGGCUGCAAGGUCACACUUCCAGAUGCCGUGACCAUGCUGGUGGAAGGGAUUGCCACAGAAGUCCUGGGCUGCCCAGUUACAAUAGGGGGAUUGACGGUAGGGGCUGGAAGAGGGGUAGGUAAGUAUAAAGGAGGGGUAGGAGCUACACAGAUGGGUGUUGGGGGUUCUUUUUCAUGGGACGGUGGCUGGACCUUCCUUACAUUCUUGGGGAUCUUUUUCCAGCGACACUGAAUGUUCUUCUCCAGGGUGCCUGGGUGUUUGGCAGCAGCUAAGCACGGAAGCUUAGGAGGAGGGGGCAGCUCACCUCGAUCCCACGUCAGUGCCUCGUUCCCCGACGGGGGCGACCUCAGCCCUGGCAGCAGCAGAAAAAGCGGCAGGGGAAUCUUCCGCUUCCAGGACCUACUGCUGGUAGAUAGCAGGGAAGGGGAGCUUCUUGUUGGGAUGCGUGAAGACUCUUCACGCUGCAGCUCCUUCCCAGACGUCGGUGAGCCUGGUGAUUUGGGCCGGUGGUCUUCACCCAGCACUUUUUUUGUUGGCCUCUCCAGCAGCAGGGAGCAGCAUGCGGUUGGGGCAGAGGACAGCACGGCAUGGGAUGGGGCCUUCACCUCCCUCUUCUCACCUCCUUCCCGGGCUGUCAUUUUGCAUUCUGCCCCUGUUUUCCCCAGCCCCCGUCUCCUCAGUGGGAGGUGACUGGCUGGUACCGGCUUCCUGACGUUGACUCCCUGCUCAGGGCAGAAGGCAGGCGCUGGAGCAGCAGGGUGGUCCCGGUCAGAUGUGGCAGCCUCCCAGGAGGGCAAAACCAGCGGGUGACAGCCCACCGGGGCCCCACGGCGGGGUGGGCGGCAGGGCCGGCGGCGGUGGGGGAGCCAGGUACGAAAUUUGCAUAGUAAGUUGCCCAUGUAGGACCGGUUGUGCGCCAAGCGAUCCGAGAACAGAGUGAAACUAGGAGAGCUUCUCCUUCGCUUCACCUCCUCUCAAGGUCUAGCACGCACUGGACACUGGAUGGCUCAGCGUGGCGCUUGUGACAUGUCCAUUGUACUCGUCACAGAGAAAGGGCGGGCGGGGCAGGGCGGGGGGCGCAUGCAAGCCCAGCCCCUGGAGAAACCCCGGCCCAAAGGCAAAGGGCGGGGCCCCAGAGCCCGACCCCUUCUGGACUUUCUAGUGGCUGGGACUUCUCGCUGUGGGUGGCAGGUGUUUGGCACCGGAUGGGCCACCAUGCGGAGACUGUUGGGGACUGUGGAAGCCUUCUCCUGCAGAGCUCACCCUGCCUGGGCACCGGCUCUGCAGGCCCCUCAGCCCUGCGUAUGUAUCGGCCAGCCCUUCCCCCCCAAGGGGCCCAGGGACCAGAGCCUGUUCAGAGCUGAGUGCAGGAGGCACCCAGAGCUUGCCAGGCUGUGGCCCGCCUCCUCCAGGGACCUCCCCAGCUUCUCUGCGAGGCCUGAUGACGGGAGCACCUUCUCCAGGGCUGCUCAGCUGCCAGCAUCACCAUGAGCCAGGUGGCGAAGGUUUCUGAGCAGGGGAUGCAGAGCCCUGACCCGCCUGGGUGCUGCAGCCCACGAUGUCCCUUCCUGGCAGAUAGGUUCUUUCUUCACUUCCUUUUCGAAAUUUGGUAAAACAACAUUUAAACCUUCGACUGUUCUUCAGGUUAUACAGAUGGUAGUGGCUUAGCUAGGAUUCGAAGCAAGGCUGUGUGAUUCCAGAGCUCGUGCUCUGGACUGUGGCGCCUCCUUAUCAUAUAUGCUUCAUGUGUUACUUUUGUUUUUUUUUUCUUGUGGCCCUUAUGGUACUUAGCCCUAAGUGCCAUACGUGUGAUGAACACGUACACUGCCCUGUAGGAGGUCUUCUUUUGUUCAACGCAUGAAUUGGUCAUCCACCACACGGGGUUCUAGUCUCAGAAGAUACAGGUCAGGGAGCACCAGCUGUCAGCAUAGCAGCGCCCCACAUUUCUAAUUGAGGCUUGCAGCCCAGAUUUUCCCUUUGGUCUAGUGUGAAGGAUCCAGAUAUGUAAAGCUUAUAUUCUAGACAAAUCAUGGGCUAUCCGGAAAGAAAUUCACCAGUAAAUUAUUCCAGUUUCUCUGGCCUUCCUGGAGUAUAUCCAGUAAGGCAUCUCAUUCAUGUCUGGCAAGCAAAUAUAUCAUUUAUUGCAACUUCAUCGUGGAGUGAUGUAUUGGUUUAAAGUACGAUCAACACAAUUUGGUCAUUGUGAGUAUGCCAGCUGGGUCCACUGUUUACUACACAUAUGUAACUCUAGCGAUUCUUAUGCCCAAGAGAGGAGACAUACUCUUGGGUGUCUAGGGCAAGGGAAACAUGUGUUGUUAUUCAGGAGCUGGAAGCUUCAGCAUGACGGGAAAGAAUUGAAAAAUCCUGGUCUACACAUGACUUUACCUUGUUUGAAACUUGUUUCUUUGGCUUGCUUCAUUGGAGUGUUUUCUCUCUCCUGGGGCUGACAUUGUGUGUUAUGUAUCACGCAUGUGACAUGUAGAAGUUUCAGAACCCAGAGUCAUAUAGAUCAAUAAAAAUGUAUUUAUAUAUUUUAGUUUAAAAUCUAUUGAAAAUAACACUGGGCAUAAUUCAUAUAUUCCAAAAUUAGUUUGACCCUCUGCCCAUGAGAUUCUUUUUAUGAUAUGUGACAGCUAAUUUGGACUUCCAUCCCCAAUAAACUUUGAGGUUUGCGGACACAAAAGGUUUUGCUCAGACCUAAAUUCUGUCUGAAAAAAAGGGCUAAAUAUUAUAAGCCCUUUCUAACCUCUCCAGGAGCAGAAAUGAUUUACAGCUGUGGCAUUGAACCAUAGUUCCUUGAUCUCAUUUGAGAAGAGUUCUGUAAGAAACGAUGUCUUGAUUUUUGUUUGUUUUGUUUGUUCCCUGUUUUCUUGUCUUACUUACCAACAAUCCAUUGUAAUUCAUGAGUUAGUAUGGCAGCAGGCUGAGUGUUCCCUGGAGCUCAUUAAAUGAACUUUUGUUCCUAAAAUGAUGUUUGUCUCCUUGUUUUCAGCCCCUCUUCUUUCCUCUGCCCUUUACUAUAACCAGAGCUCAGCAAAAGCUGACUGGCUUUGUGCAGACCCUACUUAGGGUAGUCUUUUCUUAAUUAUUUUAUUCAUGGCUCCUCCAUUUCAUUGUUUGCCUUCUCAAAAUGUGUUGAAAUCUUUCU